AGAGUUUGAUCAUGGCUCAGCGCGAACGCUGGCGGCAUGGCUAAAACAUGCAAGUCGAACGAUUAAAGCCCCCUUCGGGGGGUGUAUAAAGUGGCGAAAGGGCGAGGAAUAUAUUUCUAACGUGCCCUCGGAUCAGGGAUAGCCCGGGGAAACCUGGUGUAAUACCUGAUGAUCCCUGUUGACCGUAUGGUCUUUAGGGCAAAGGUCCGCCGUCCGAGGAUCGGGAAAUAUGCUAUCAGCUUGUUGGUGAGGUAAUGGCUCACCAAGGCUUAGACGGCUAGCGGGUGUGAGAGCAUGACCCGCCGCAUCGGGACUGAGACACUGCCCGGACUCCUUCGGGAGGCUGCAGUAACGAAUAUUCCGCAAUGCGCGAAAGCGUGACGGAGCAAUGCCGCGUGAAGGACGAAGCCCCUCGGGGUGUAAACUUCUGUCAGGACCUAGGAAGAUCUGACCAGGUCCAGAGGAAGGGCCGGCUAAGUUCGUGCCAGCAGCCGCGGUAAUACGAACGGCCCGAGCGUUGCGCGGAAUCAUUGGGCUUAAAGGGUGCGUAGGCGGAUCUGCAAGUACUUUGUGAAAGCCCCCGGCUCAACCGGGGAAUUGCUUGGUAGACUGCAAAUCUUGAGAUUGGUAGGGGUGGUCGGAACAGUAGGUGGAGCGGUGAAAUGCAUAGAUAUCUACUGGAACGCCAAAGGUGAAGACAGGCCACUGGGCCAAUUCUGACGCUGAGGCACGAAAGCGUGGGGAGCGAACGGGAUUAGAUACCCCGGUAGUCCACGCCCUAAACGAUGUGCACUAAAUCCCGGAGGUUUUGACGCCCUCGGGGUUGCAGCGAAAGCAUUAAGUGCACCGCCUGGGGAGUACGGUCGCAAGGCUAAAACUCAAAGGAAUUGACGGGGGCUCACACAAGCGGUGGAGCAUGUGGCUUAAUUCGAAGCAACGCGAAGAACCUUAUCCAGGGUUUGACAUGUACGGAUUAGCUGGGAGAAACCUCAGUGACACUCUUGUAGUGGAACGUACACAGGUGCUGCAUGGCUGUCGUCAGCUCGUGCCGUGAGGUGUUAGGUUAAGUCCUUCAACGAGCGAAACCCUUGCCGUUAGUUGCCAGCGAGUAAUGUCGGGGACUCUAGCGGGACUGCCGGUGUUAAACCGGAGGAAGGUGGGGAUGACGUCAAGUCCUCAUGGCCUUUAUGCCCUGGGCUGCACACGUGCUACAAUGGUAACUACAGAGCGAAGCGAUAUCGCAAGGUGGAGCAAAUCGCAAAAAAGUUGCCUCAGUUCGGAUUGGGGUCUGCAAUUCGACCCCAUGAAGGCGGAAUCGCUAGUAAUCGCGUAUCAGCUACGACGCGGUGAAUACGUUCCUGAGCCUUGUAGACACCGCCCGUA
rnacentral:rRNA from 1 species